rfam:Schistosoma rodhaini strain Burundi genome assembly, scaffold: SROB_scaffold0000340
AUCCAGCUGAUGAAUCCCAGGUAGGAUGAAACGCUUGUUCUGGAU